rnacentral:rRNA from 1 species
GACUUCCUACGGGACGCAGCAGUGGGGAAUAUUGCACAAUGGGCGAAAGCCUGAUGCAGCAACGCCGCGUGAGCGAUGAAGGCCUUCGGGUCGUAAAGCUCUGUCCUCAAGGAAGAUAAUGACGGUACUUGAGGAGGAAGCCCCGGCGAACUACGUGCCAGCAGCCGCGGUAAUACGUAGGGGGCUAGCGUUAUCCGGAAUUACUGGGCGUAAAGGGUGCGUAGGUGGAUUCUUAAGUCAGAGGGGAA